GACGAACGCUGGCGGCGUGCUUAACACAUGCAAGUCGAACGACGUGGCGAACGGGUGAGUAACGCGUAAUCAACCUUCCCUUCAGAGGGGGACAACAGUUGGAAACGACUGCUAAUACCGCAUACUGAAGGCGGGGAUUGCGUCUGAUUAGCUAGUUGGAGGGGUAACGGCCAACCAAGGCGAUGAUAAGUAGACGGUCUGGGAGGAUGAACGGCCACAGUGGGACUGAGAAACGGCCCAGACUCCUACGGGAGGCAGCAGGGGGGAAUCUUGCGCAAUGGACGAAAGUCUGACGGAGCAACUCCGCGUGAGUGAUGACGGCCUUCGGGUUGUAAAGCUCUGUUAAUCGGGACGCGGUACCGGAAUAGAAAGCCACGGCUAACUACGUGCCAGCAGCCGCGGUAAUUC
rnacentral:rRNA from 1 species